rnacentral:misc_RNA from 1 species
CUAGAAUUUAAAAAGUAUGAUGAUAAGGUUGAUAUGUGGAGUCUUGGUGCAAUUCUUUUUGAACUACUUAAUGGUUACCCUCCCUUUCGUGGUAGAACUAGUGUUCAGAUACUGCGAAAUAUCAAGGCAUCUCUACGUCUUCCUUUCUUUGAGCCGAUUCUUCCUCAGUUGCACCCGGGUUGUGUUGACUUGUGCUCAAGACUAUUGUCUAUCGAUCCAGAGAAACGGAUCUCUUUUAAAGAGUUUUGUCAACACAACUUUUUGAAGAUAGACGAAGGGGGAGAUAAGAGUUUCUGUUAGAGUUCAAAAGCAUCUGGAUAUCCCACUGAGCAGAAGUGCUCACCAGUUUAAUAAUCAAUGUACAAAUGUGGUUUCUGUUUUUCAGUUAUAACCUUAGUGUAGUCGGCUCUUUUUUUCCUGCUGAUUUACUCUAGGCUAGUCACCAGUCGAUCAGUUCCAAAU